AGAACUACAAUACAAAACAUUCAGUGCAGAGAUAAUAAAUGAGAAGAAAAUGAACUGUGAAGUGCCUUAUAGAGAUGGGAAGUUAUUUUUAAUCACUUUCACUUGAACCCUCAAUUUUCUCCUAUAAUACAAACAAAAACCAUCCUGAAAUAAGAGCAGUAUAUAAGAGAGAGGAGACAAAGAAACCCGAAUUGAAAAUGCCAGAGAGUAAUCUGUAAAUGGAUUAAUGAGACUAAACAUUUUCCAUCCUCCGAUGGCCCAACAAAUGAUUAAUUUGAAAGGCCAUCGACAAAUCAGUCCCCAGAUCUUGUUCUGCGAGAUUUUAAAAUCACCGUCAUUACCAUAACUCGGUGUAGGUCCGGGAUAAUCCUUUCUUCCACAGUUUUGCAGUAGCGAGUUCCAGGACAAAAUUUCUAACAAAUAAAUGCUUAACAAGUGACUUUUGGAUAAAUUAGCAGGACCAUACAUUAAAUGCAUUUUAACAAUCUUUAAUUGAUUCUACUAAUUAGUCGCUUGAGCGUACUUCUUACGCAUGUAUUUAUACAAAAUUUAAUUAAUACAACUCCCAACUGAAAAAAUCUGAUGUCCUGCGUUAAAUGCAAUUUGAUAAAGUUCACAGUAAAAUUUCUAAAAUUAAAUUCAAUAUGCAUUCUCUCAUAAAAAUAUUUGACUACAGUUAUCAAAAUUUUCUAAAAGAUUAUUAUGACACAGUAGGUACUCACAUUUGCUAUUGCAUAUUAUGUUUUAGAUUUGAUUUAAUCUUGCAUUUAUUAAGAUCUGAUAUUAAAGAGGUACGCGAAGGCAGUAGUAUAUCCAACUUUUUGAUUGAUUACAAUCAUCAAAAGCAAGUUAAGUUCUCAAAUAUUAUCUCUAAGUGUUGUUUUUAUCUGUAAUAAUCUUAAAUUCCUUUUGCGCACACCUUUGCUACAAAACUAUGUAUGUACAUCUCCUAUCCAAUAAUAAAUAAUCCGCAUUAUUUCCGCAUAAGAUCUAUGCUAACUAGGUACCUGCAUGGAGAGUUAGCAAAGACAUCUCACGAGUCAAAACAAGAACCUUUAAUAACUUCAACCUAAUCCCUUGUUUUAAGUACUUGCCAAAAUUCAAACUCAUAGAUAUCUCGCAUACUAUAUAUAAGUCUUGUUUCUUGUUUACAAUCCCCAUCUAUCUUUUGUUUUCCUCCCCUCACUAUGAUGUUCUUGGCCUACACAUCUUCUCUUUUUCUUGAUCAUUUUUUUCUUGAAAAUUUCAUCAUGCAGGACAGGGAAAAGUAUGCUGAAAGUUCGAGUUAUCAACCUAGCCCUAAUGUGGAUAUGGGAAACUGGUCGACUCAACUUGCAAGAAACUGCUGGGAAUACACUUGCACGUUUUGCUUCAAAACCUUUCCCUCUGCUCAAGCCUUAGGGGGUCAUCAAAAUGCUCAUCGGGCUGAGCGGAAGGAGGAAAGGAGACUCUGUGUCAGGGACCCCAUUUCGCAUCGUAAGCGCCUCUAUCUUCAGUCACUUUGUCCUCCGGGUCCUCCAGGUGUUGCUGUUUUGCUUCCACCGCAACUGGGUGGUGAGGGUCCUUCUAUUUUGCAUGGCAGUCAACCCAAUUCGAACUCAUUGCCUCUAGAUCUGAAUCUUUCUCCUCCAACUGAAUUCAAUGAUUUGGUAGAAGGGGGAACCUAUUCAACAAGGUCGUACUAUGAAAAGGAAAUCAUAUCCGAUGCUGCAAUACCUAAGGCCUCCAACAAACGCAAUGAUGACAAUGAAAUGGCCAACUGUGAGACUCUGGAUUUAAAUUUAAAGCUCUAGACUUGCGUCUUGCAAGAAAAAAUAAAUGAAAACUGAGUAGUCAACUCAGGUGAUGCAAAACAUAUAUAAAUGAACGAGUUCUCUUUUUGUUAACUAAUGCGUUUCCCCCCUCUUCUUUAUUUAUUGAUAAGUACAGUCUUUCCUAUUUUUCCCAUCAUAUCAUAAUUACUCAUGCAAUCCAACCAGACAAAACUAAAUGACUAUAUAUUAUAUCGAUCAGUUUCUGUUUCUUUAACCCAGGUUGGAAGGAUAUCAUUACAAGUACAAUAAAUUUCAUUAUCAACGUCAAUAUUCAUCCAAAUUUAUAAUAGUAGUAAAGCUCACUCUAAUGGGGAGAUUAUUACAAGAAUCACUACCCUCACAAAGGAAUUAAUAAAGCGUCAUAAUAAGGAAGAAUAACAAACUCACAAAAUAACACUGAGAAUCAAGAUCUAAAAGUCCUGAGUCUUAAUCAUAAUCAUCAGGCUAAUACCUUGUUAACGAGUUAAGCCAAUCUUGUUGCUGACGUCUAAUUUAUUUUCCUUAAAUAUGAUUUUAUUUAUGAGGGCACGGAAAAAGUGAGACAUACCUCACGUUUCUGCGUGAUCUUUCCAACAAAAUAACACCGUUUUAAAAAAUUACAAAAAAUUCUUUUGUACACAACAUGGAAGGGAAUGUAUUUUUUAUAUGAGUAAUGUUACUAUCACAUAAAAACCGCUCACAUACACUCACAUGCAUAUUGGUAUGGCUCACAUGACUUACUCUGCACGUGGGCCAUACCAAUAUGCACAUGUGGGCCAUACCAAUAUGCAUGUGAGUGUAUGUGAUCAGUAUGUGAGCGAUUUUUAUGUGAUAGUAGACUUAUAAUUUUUAUAUAUAAAUACACAAAAUGACGUCUUUUUUUGUGCGAUAACUCACCCAAUAAUAUGUGGUCUCUCACAUCCCUUUUUGCCUUAUUGUAUACUUGAGUAUUUUAAAUAUAAAUAGGCAAUUUAGGAAAAAUAUUAUUAAAUGAAACCAAUAUAUCACCUUCCUCCCUGAAAAAUUAGGGAUGAACAGUAGUGCCAAUUCUCUCUCUCUCUCUCUCUCUCUCUCUAUAUAUAUAUAUAUAUAUAUAUAUAUAUAUAUAUAUAUAUAUAUAUAUAAUAAUGUAUAUUGAUAUACCAAAUAGAGAAGUUGAAUUGCUCAAACUAAUCUAUUAAGCAUUGUGAUUUUGAUGUCACCUAUUAAAACCCAUUAUCCAAUUCAUGAUAUCCGAAUUGCCUUUCAAGAUAUACUUAAAGUGAACGACAACAGCAACAACAACACACCCAAGAGUUAGCUCGGCCUAUAAGAAAAAAUUAUUCAUGACACUAGUCGAGUAUAUACUUCACAUCGUAAUUACAAAAGUAAAUAAAACUAUUAAUUUUAAAAAAAAUACAUAAUCGCAGCCAAGAACAAACAAACUAUUAUUAGGAUUUAGAAAUACUGAUUUUCAAACCUCAUAGAAAAGCCCUAAAUCAUUGUCUCCGUCAAUACGCCGUAAUCCAUGAAUCUGAGGCUUUUUUUUAUUCUUUGGCGAUCGAGCCGCAAGCCCUGUAUCUGACUUCUCCUGUGUUCCUUUUUCUCAGUUUCUAAUUUUCCAUAUGUAUAUUUUUGAAUAUAUUGUAAAAUUCUAAAAUUAUACCUUACCAUCAAGAGAAAACAACUAAUUUUAGACCUUCUUACAC
rnacentral:lncRNA from 1 species